UACGUAGGGGGCAAGCGUUGUCCGGAUUUAUUGGGCGUAAAGAGCGUGUAGGCGGCCUGACAGGUCUGCUGUGAAAACUCGAGGCUCAACCCUGGGAUGCCGGUCGAUACUGCCGGACUAGAGUUCGGAAGAGGCGAGUGGAAUUCCCGGUGUAGCGGUGAAAUGCGUAGAUAUCCGGGAGGAACACCGGGUGGCGAAGGCGGCUUCCUGGACCGACACUGACGCUGAGGCGCGAAAGCUAGGGGAGCAAACGGG
rnacentral:rRNA from 1 species